rnacentral:rRNA from 1 species
CAAAAGGGGAAUGCCUAGUACGGCGAGUGAAGCGGCAAGAGCUCAAAUUUGAAAGCUGGCCCCCUCGGGGUCCGCAUUGUAAUUUGCAGAGGAUGCUUCGGGAACGGCCCCCAUCUAAGUGCCCUGGAACGGGCCGUCAUAGAGGGUGAGAAUCCCGUCUGGGAUGGGGUGGCCGCGCCCGUGUGAAGCUCCUUCGACGAGUCGAGUUGUUUGGGAAUGCAGCUCUAAUUGGGUGGUAAAUUUCAUCUAAAGCUAAAUAUUGGCCGGAGACCGAUAGCGCACAAGUAGAGUGAUCGAAAGAUGAAAAGCACUUUGAAAAGAGAGUUAAACAGCACGUGAAAUUGUUGAAAGGGAAGCGCUUGCGACCAGACUCGCCCGCGGGGUUCAGCCGGCACUCGUGCCGGUGUACUUCCCCGCGGGCGGGCCAGCGUCGGUUUGGGCGGCCGGUCAAAGGCCUCUGGAAGGUAACGCCUCUCGGGGCGUCUUAUAGCCAGGGGUGCCAUGCGGCCUGCCCGGACCGAGGAACGCGCUUCGGCUCGGACGCUGGCAUAAUGGUCGUAAGCGACCCGUCUUGAACCACGGACC